rnacentral:rRNA from 1 species
AGUUCAUUCAAUAUCUGCCCUAUCAACUUUCGAUGGUAGUAUAGAGGACUACCAUGGUGGUAACGGGUAACGGAGAAUCAGGGUUUGAUUCCGGAGAAGGAGCCUGAGAAACGGCUACUACUUCCAAGGAAGGCAGCAGGCGCGCAAAUUACCCAAUCCCGACACGGGGAGGUAGUGACAAAAAAUAACAAUACCGGUCUUAUUUAAGUCUGGUAAUUGGAAUGAGUACAAUCUAAAACCUUUAACGAGUAUCAAUUGGAGGGCAAGUCUGGUGCCAGCAGCCGCGGUAAUUCCAGCUCCAAUAGCAUAUAUUAAAGUUGUUGCAGUUAAAAAGCUCGUAGUUGGAUUUUGAUGUUAUUUAUUAUGACCCGCCUUGUAUAAKGUGUGUUUGUUGUGAUA